AUUGAACGCUGGCGGCAUGCCUUACACACGCAAGUCGAACGGUAACAGGUCUUCGGAUGCUGACGAGUGGCGAACGGGUGAGUAAUACAUCGGAACGUGCCUAGUAGUGGGGGAUAACUACUCGAAAGAGUGGCUAAUACCGCAUGAGAUCUACGGAUGAAAGCAGGGGAUCGCAAGACCUUGUGCUACUAGAGCGGCCGAUGGCAGAUUAGGUAGUUGGUGGGAUAAAAGCUUACCAAGCCGACGAUCUGUAGCUGGUCUGAGAGGACGAUCAGCCACACUGGGACUGAGACACGGCCCAGACUCCUACGGGAGGCAGCAGUGGGGAAUUUUGGACAAUGGGCGCAAGCCUGAUUCAGCAAUGCCGCGUGCAGGAUGAAGGCCUUCGGGUUGUAAACUGCUUUUGUACGGAACGAAAAGCCCUGGGUUAAUACCCUGGGGUCAUGACGGUACCGUAAGAAUAAGCACCGGCUAACUACGUGCCAGCCGCCGCGGUAAAAC
rnacentral:rRNA from 1 species